ACUUUCAACAACGGAUCUCUUGGUUCUGGCAUCGAUGAAGAACGCAGCGAAAUGCGAUAAGUAAUGUGAAUUGCAGAAUUCAGUGAAUCAUCGAAUCUUUGAACGCACAUUGCGCCCUCUGGUAUUCCGGGGGGCAUGCCUGUUCGAGCG
rnacentral:rRNA from 1 species